rnacentral:rRNA from 1 species
CCUACGGGAGGCUGCAGUGGGGAAUAUUGGACAAUGGGGGGAACCCUGAUCCAGCCAUGCCGCGUGUGUGAAGAAGGCCCUCGGGUUGUAAAGCACUUUCAGUGAGGAAGAACGCCUGGUGGUUAAUACCCAUCAGGAAAGACAUCACUCACAGAAGAAGCACCGGCUAACUCCGUGCCAGCAGCCGCGGUAAUACGGAGGGUGCGAGCGUUAAUCGGAAUUACUGGGCGUAAAGCGCGCGUAGGUGGCUUGAUAAGCCGGUUGUGAAAGCCCCGGGCUCAACCUGGGAACGGCAUCCGGAACUGUCAAGCUAGAGUGCAGGAGAGGAAGGUAGAAUUCCCGGUGUAGCGGUGAAAUGCGUAGAGAUCGGGAGGAAUACCAGUGGCGAAGGCGGCCUUCUGGACUGACACUGACACUGAGGUGCGAAAGCGUGGGUAGCAAACAGGAUUAGAUAUCCUAGUAGUC